rnacentral:lncRNA from 1 species
UAUAUUUUUGCUUUAUAGAUGAUGAGAUAAGUAGUUAUAUAAUAGUUUAUAUGCAGAUGAUGUGUUAAAAAGAAAGAUUUUUUUUUUUAAAUUUGGUUGAAGAAAUUUUAAUUCAAUCAUAUUUCACCACAUCAUUUGUAUGUAAAUCAUUAUGUAAAUCUAUUCUGUACAUGUAGAAGAAAUAUAAGUGCAUAUAGACACAAGUUUUCUUGCAUUUGUUUAUUAAUGCAGCAGCUAAUCGGACAAAUGAACUAUCCAAAGGGCUGCCGUCUCCUUGCAAAUUAACUUAAUCGUUCUUGCUAGUACCAUGAAUAAUAUUCUUGUACUUAUAUUCUAACUAAAAGGGCAAUCGUCAAAAAAAUUGACUUACACCAUCAUGUUAGGGUAAGCUUAAAAGGUGCUUAAACUUAGCGAUAGCAUGUCUAUUUUGCCGUAAGCAUGUUUUCACUGAAGAAAUAAGAUAGCUAUAAGUAGCUUAUAAGUAAACAUGCCAGGUAAAUAAGCAGCUUACAAGUAAUUAAGCAUACCCUUAGUGGUUUGGUUUAUACCCACGUAUCUUUUCUGUUGUGUAGCUUUUUGAAGCUGCAUCAAAUACUUUAAUAAUACGAAAUCUAAAUACACAAAUGAAAUUGAGGUCAAUUGUCCAAUUGAAUUUUUACCCGGAUAGUAGGUUUUCUAAAACCCCGCAUAAUUAGUUUUGCAGCAAUUGGAAAUUCCAGCUAUUAAAAAGAUCAGAUAUAUAUGUAUGUGUAAUGAUUAAAAAAUAGGAAAAUAAUGACUUUAUUAUACCUGAUAGAGCAAGGGAAGGAGAACAUGUACGCGAGGCUGCUUAAAUAAUAUACAAGGCUUAGAUAAUUAAGAUAAAAGAAGUGCUUUCAAGUUAGCUCGCUUAGCAAAUGUUAAAGUACUAGUCUCUUUCUCAUUUCCUAGGAAAAAAAAUGCAGCAGCAGAUACUCACAAUGAGAUAGAUAAACACGUUGCUUAAUCCAUAAAACAAGAAUUAUUACACAUGGAUCACGAGUCAAAAAGCAUCAGAGUUGUGGAUUGCAUAAACCAUGUACAAUUUUUUGAUGAUUUUUAUGACGAUUACUCGACAGACAAGGAAAAUGUAAGUAAAAAUAAUGCUUCUAAAAACAGAUCUCAGUUUCAUCAGUAAUAUAAAUUAAAUACGACAACUGAAGCCUUGCAACAACAGCAAUCCACACUAGUUUCGCUCUAUUCAUAAGAACAAGAACCUCUUUACAUCUAGAGAGAACUUGUCCCAAAUACAUAUAUCGCCAUUCCCUCAACUUUUUAUCAAUCAUUUUUGAUAUGUUACAUUAACUAGCAGAUGAAGUUGGUCACUAAGUCCCUAGCUACUAAAUACAUUUAGUUUUACAUGGUUGACUUAACUAGGAAAUAGGGCUACAACAUAAAAAACUUAUAUUAUAUUUUGCUUUAUAAAGAUGAAGUGCCUAUAGACACAAGUUUUCUUGCAUUAGUUCAUUAAUGCAAAAGCUAAUCGAGCCAAUGAUCCAUCCAAAGGGCAACUGUCUCUUUAUCAGGCUUACAAGAUACAAGUCCAUUACUGUUGGUUGACGGUCACUACAACAGAAGUAGCUUCUUACGACAUUCAUUUACGGCAUACAUAUAAAGCACGCCUUAAAAACAAACUAUUUAUGGUAUGCAUUAAAUGUGUGCCGCAAUAAUUAAAUUGCUCAGUUGAAUAUCUACGAUAUACGAAUUGGGCACGCCGUAAAAGCUAAAUAUUUACGGCAUACAUAUUGGCAAGCGGUAAAUAAUGCCACUUUUUGAUCUUAAAAUUUAUUUUAUUUUUUUCUUCUUCUCCCACAUUUUCUUUUCCUUACCUUUUCUUUCUUGUUCGUUUUUUCUUUCAUUUUUUCUUCUUUACAUUUUCUUUCUUUUGUCUAUGCUUCUCUCUUCUUCUUUCAGCGAAACCCUUGCCUUCUCCUUUCAACUGCUCUAUUAGCAAUCGUCCGUUCAAUCAACCAUCUGCCAUAUUUGACCCAAACCCUUUUUCGAAUCCCCCUUUUUAAAUCUCUUAAAAUUAUAGCCCCCAUUUGGCCCCCCAUUUUGUAUAAAUGAAAAUGGAUGGAAUAGUAUUUUUUUGAAAAAUGAGUGAUUGAAAAAGAAGGAAAAGUUUUCAAUUUAAGUGUAAUAUUAUUUUAUGCAAGAUUGUGUGGUUGAAAAUUGAAGAGAGAAAAAUGGAAUAUAAUAGAAUGGAAACUAAUGGGGGCCAAACGGGGGCUAUCCCAAAUCACCUAUAGUAGUUGAUCGUCAUAGUCGUUGUCGCUUUACCCCCUCUCCAAAUCUAGGUAAUUUGACAAUAUCAUAAAUGCUUCCCUGUUCAAUACUUUAUGUUUAUCUUCAACGUUUGGAAGUUUUCUCCAUUUCAUGAUCAAAUUAAGGUUGAUGGUGUGCGGAAUUUCAAAUAUAUGCUACUAUUUACGGGUGAAUGCUUUUGCUUAGUGGGUACAUGUCCUGUUUAUCGUAAUAAAAUUGAUUACUUGUUAAUGAGGUGGAAUGGUGGAUGGAAACACUGAUUGCUUUUUGAAAUUAUUGGUACAAUUGCUGGUUUUUAUUUGAUCAUUUUUCUCUAUUCAUUUUCUUCUCGUGUGUCUAUGAGGAAUUUUUGUUUUUUUCGAUAUUUGGGAUUUUGAACACCAAUUUGGUUUUGCUUAUUUUCUCGUGUAUGUAGGAAGGAUAUGGACAGGUCAUAAUAUAUUGAUUUGGUUGUGGUCGCAUGAGGGAGGCAUUUGAUGAGAUUAACAACCUGUUUUUGAGCUAGAAUGAACCAUUGAUUUGGUAGUAUUGACGCAAAAGUUUGGAAGGAGAGUUAGCGACAUGAAGGUGAAAUCCUCCUGCACAUUAGUUAGAAUUGUUGGAUCUUUUUAGAAAAAAAAAAAAAAAUAAGAAAGAGAAUAAUGCCUUAACAUUGUGGAACAUGAUAUUUUGCAUGAGAUAUGAUUUGGAAGAAUAUAACAUAGAAAUUUUGUGUUAUCAAAUAACAAACAGUUGGCUCGGCUCAAUCGGAAUGUUAUUGUUAAUUUUUUAUCGAUUUAUUUUUGUAGAUAUUCCUAUUUUUGAGACCUUUGGCCUUCUGCUGCACUUAUACAAGUCUCACUUGCAAGUUGCUACUCACUUCAGGAGUUGGAACUUAGCUGUUAAGUAACUGAAUGUGUGUGCAUAGAUGUAGGCUUAGCCUAGGUCCUAAAAAAACAAAUGGGUCAAGCAAUAUUUUGGUGAUCAAAAUGUAUGUACUUCGCAUUUCUGUUUAAGUUUAUUACGUUAAUUGUUAUGUUUAUCUCUGUAUGAAGCACAGACUCUUUUCUUUGAAGAUUGACAUUGUUGAAGGCAAACCAUUUGCACAAGUUUUAUUCUAUGAAGCUUUUAGAUGGUAUACCCUCUCGUUCGGUAUUUUUCUCAAUUUAUUUAUCUUUCUAAUUGAUGAGUAAAACAAGGAUUGUGUGUUCUUUUUUGCUUGAAACUUCUCUUAACAUAUCUAAUAUCUUGAAUUGUGGAGCCUGUAGAUUGUAUAUCAAUAAAAGUAGUUUGGGUAAUUAGCUUUAUUGUCAAUUCAUUUAUAUUGAUGUUAAGGAAUUCUUUUGAUUGAAAUAAAGUAGAAGACUACUUCAAGAGAGUUGUGGAGUUGAAGGAUGUAGAGGCCUUGAACAAAUACGCAAACUUCUGUUGGUGAAGAUGGAUCUUUGGGCUGCUAAGGAAACCUACUUGGACACCAUUGAAUAAUGAAGUUUCCAUGUGCUGAAAAACUUAGUGCAAUGGCAAAUUUUUUGAGCAGGCUAAUGAUGUUGUUAGAAUUAUUUAGAUACACUCUACAUUUUGACAUAUUUUAUUAAAUUGUACUCAAUAUUUUUGCUUACUGAAACUAUGGAAAAUAUGAUUAUAU